rnacentral:rRNA from 1 species
UUCUUCAAGAAAAAUUUUUAGGAAAGUUAAUUAAUUAGAAGGAACUCGGCAAGUUUAGUUGCUUCGCCUGUUUAUCAAAAACAUGGCUCUUUGCUUAUAUAAAUAUAAAGAGUCGAGCCUGCCCAGUGAAUUUUUUUAACGGCCGCGGUACUCUGACCGUGCAAAGGUAGCAUAAUCAUUUGCCUUAUAAUUGAAGGCUAGUAUGAAUGGUUUAACGAAAGCAAUACUGUCUCCUUUUUAUUUUCAAGAACUUAACUUUUAGGUGAAGAGGCCUAAAUUUUAUUGAAGGACAAGAAGACCCUGUCGAGCUUAAAAGAUGCCAUAGAAGUCUGAUAUAUUUUAAAAUAAAUUUUCUAUUAAGCUUUUUAGUUGGGGCGACUAAGGAACAAAAAAAGCUUCUUCUUAAUGAUAAACAAGCAUGUUUAGAUCCGAUAAUAAAUGAUUAAAGGAAUUAGUUACCGCAGGGAUAACAGCAUAAUCUCUCUUAAGAGACCUAAUCGAAAGAGGGGGUUGUGACCUCGAUGUUGGACUAGAAUAUCCUGAAGAUGCA